rnacentral:rRNA from 1 species
AGUGAACGCUGGCGGUAGGCCUAACACAUGCAAGUCGAACGGCAGCACAGUAAGAGCCUGCUCUUACGGGUGGCGAGUGGCGGACGGGUGAGGAAUACAUCGGAAUCUACUUUUUCGUGGGGGAUAACGUAGGGAAACUUACGCUAAUACCGCAUACGACCUACGGGUGAAAGCAGGGGAUCUUCGGACCUUGCGCGAUUGAAUGAGCCGAUGUCGGAUUAGCUAGUUGGCGGGGUAAAGGCCCACCAAGGCGACGAUCCGUAGCUGGUCUGAGAGGAUGAUCAGCCACACUGGAACUGAGACACGGUCCAGACUCCUACGGGAGGCAGCAGUGGGGAAUAUUGGACAAUGGGCGCAAGCCUGAUCCAGCCAUACCGCGUGGGUGAAGAAGGCGUUCGGGUUGUAAAGCCCUUUUGUUGGGAAAGAAAAGCAGCAGGUUAAUACCCCGCUGUUCUGACGGUACCCAAAGAAUAAGCACCGGCUAACUUCGUG